AUGAAUUCCUUAGGAACCUUUAUUAUAAAUGGAAUAUACCGAAUUGUGAUCAAUCAAAUAUUGCUAAGUCCUGGUAUUUACUACUGAUCAGAAUUAGAUCAUAAGGGAAUUUGUAUCUACAUUGGGACUAUAAUAUUAGAUUGGGGAGGGAGAUCAGAAUUAACAAUUGAUAAAAAAGAAAGGAUAUGGGCUCGCGUGAGUAGAAAACAAAAGAUAUCUAUUCUAGUUCUAUCAUAAGCUAUGGGUUCGAAUCUAAGAGAAAUUCUAGAUAAUGUUUCCUACCCUAAAAUUUUCUUGUCUUUCCCAAAUGCUAAGGAGAAGAAGAGGAUUGAGUCAAAAGAAAAACUUUUCGAGUUUUAUCAACAAUUUGCUUGUGUAGGUGGGGACCUGGUAUUUUCGGAGUCCUUAUGCGAGGAAUUACAAAAGAAUUUUUUUCAACAAAAAUGUGAAUUAGGAAGGAUUGGUCAAUGAAAUAUGAACCAGAGACUUAAUCUUGAUAUACCUCAGAACAAUACAUUCUUGUUACCACGAGAUGUAUUGGCCGCUACAGAUCAUUUGAUUGGAAUCAAAUUUGGAAUGGGUAUACUUGACGAUGACGAUAUGAAUCACUUGAAAAAUAAAGGCACUUGA
rnacentral:rRNA from 1 species